rnacentral:rRNA from 1 species
GAUGAACGCUGGCGGCGCGCCUAACACAUGCAAGUCGAACGAUUAAAGCACCUUCGGGUGUGUAUAAAGUGGCGAACGGCUGAGUACACGUGGGCAACCUGCCCCUUUCAUUGGGAUAGCCACGGGAAACCGUGGAUAAUACCGAAUACUUCGAGACUUCCGCAUGGAAGACUCGAGAAAGCUCCGGCGGAGAGGGAUGGGCCCGCGGCCUGUUAGCUUGUUGGUGGGGUAACGGCCUACCAAGGCAAUGAUGGGUAGCUGGGUUGAGAGACCGACCAGCCAGAUUGGGACUGAGACACGGCCCAGACUCCUACGGGAGGCAGCAGUGGGGAAUCUUGCACAAUGGGCGAAAGCCUGAUGCAGCGACGCCGCGUGCGGGAUGAAGGCCUUCGGGUUGUAAACCGCUUUCAGCAGGGACGAGGCGAAAGUGACGGUACCUGCAGAAGAAGCCCCGGCUAACUACGUG